rnacentral:rRNA from 1 species
UGCGAGUCAUUGUAGCAAUACAAGGCAGACGGCUCAGUAACGCGUAGUCAACCUAACCUAUGGACGGGAAUAACCUCGGGAAACUGAGAAUAAUGCCCGAUAGAACAUUAUGCCUGGAAUGGUUUAUGUUUCAAAUGAUUUAUCGCCGUAGGAUGGGACUGCGGCCUAUCAGUUUGUUGGUGAGGUAAUGGCCCACCAAGACUAUUACAGGUACGGGCUCUGAGAGGAGUAGCCCGGAGAUGGGUACUGAGACACGGACCCAGGCCCUAUGGGGCGCAGCAGGCGAGAAAACUUUGCAAUGUGCGAAAGCACGACAAGGUUAAUCCGAGUGAUUUGUGCUAAACGAAUCUUUUGUUAGUCCUAGAAACACUAACGAAUAAGGGGUGGGCAAGUUCUGGUGUCAGCCGCCGCGGUAAAACCAGCACCUCAAGUGGUCAGGAUGAUUAUUGGGCCUAAAGCAUCCGUAGCCGGCUCUGUAAGUUUUCGGUUAAAUCUGUACGCUUAACGUACAGGCUGCCGGGAAUACUGCAUAGCUAGGAAGUGGGAGAGGUAGACGGUACUCGGUAGGAAGGGGUAAAAUCCUUUGAUCUAUUGAUGACCACCUGUGGCGAAGGCGGUCUACCAGAACACGUUCGACGGUGAGGGAUGAAAGCUGGGGGAGCAAACCGGAUUAGAUACCCGGGUAGUCCCAGCUGUAAACUAUGCAAACUCAGUGAUGCAUUGGCUUGUGGCCAAUGCAGUGCUGCAGGGAAGCCGUUAAGUUUGCCGCCUGGGAAGUACGUACGCAAGUAUGAAACUUAA